rnacentral:rRNA from 1 species
ACUCUAAAGGGACUGCCGGUGUUAAACCGGAGGAAGGUGGGGAUGACGUCAAGUCCUCAUGGCCCUUUAUGACCAGGGCUACACACGUACUACAAUGGCCGAUACAAAGGGCAGCGACACUGCGAGGUGAAGCCAAUCCCGUAAAAUCGGUCUCAGUCCGGAUUGGAGUCUGCAACUCGACUCCAUGAAGUUGGAAUCGCUAGUAAUCGUGGAUCAGCAUGCCACGGUGAAUACGUUCCCGGGCCUU